rnacentral:rRNA from 1 species
GACGAACGCUGGCGGCGUGCCUAAUACAUGCAAGUAGGACGCUGAAGGAGGAGCUUGCUUCUCUGGAUGAGUUGCGAACGGGUGAGUAACGCGUAGGUAACCUGCCUGGUAGCGGGGGAUAACUAUUGGAAACGAUAGCUAAUACCGCAUAAUAGUAGAUGUUGCAUGACAUUUGCUUAAAAGGUGCAAUUGCAUCACUACCAGAUGGACCUGCGUUGUAUUAGCUAGUUGGUGGGGUAACGGCUCACCAAGGCGACGAUACAUAGCCGACCUGAGAGGGGGAUCGGCCACACUGGGACUGAGACACGGCCCAGACUCCUACGGGAGGCAGCAGCAGGGAAUCUUCGGCAAUGGACGGAAGUCUGACCGAGCAACGCCGCGUGAGUGAAGAAGGUUUUCGGAUCGUAAAGCUCUGUUGUAAGAGAAGAACGAGUGUGAGAGUGGAAAGUUCACACUGUGACGGUAUCUUACCAGAAAGGGACGGCUAACUACGUG